rnacentral:rRNA from 1 species
AUUGAACGCUGGCGGCAUGCUUUACACAUGCAAGUCGAACGGUAACAGGUUAAGCUGACGAGUGGCGAACGGGUGAGUAAUGCAUCGGAACGUGCCCGAUCGUGGGGGAUAACGCAGCGAAAGCUGCGCUAAUACCGCAUACGAUCUGAGGAUGAAAGCGGGGGACCGGAAGGCCUCGCGCGAUCGGAGCGGCCGAUGUCAGAUUAGGUAGUUGGUGGGGUCAAGGCACACCAAGCCGACGAUCUGUAGCUGGUCUGAGAGGACGACCAGCCACACUGGGACUGAGACACGGCCCAGACUCCUACGGGGUGCAGCAGUGGGGAAUUUUGGACAAUGGGCGAAAGCCUGAUCCAGCAAUGCCGCGUGCAGGAAGAAGGCCUUCGGGUUGUAAACUGCUUUUGUACGGAGCGAAAAGGUCCUUUCUAAUACAAGGGGCUCAUGACGGUACCGUAAGAAUAAGCACCGGCUAACUACGUGCCAGCAGCCGCCGUAA